rnacentral:rRNA from 1 species
GACGAACGCUGGCGGCGUGCUUAACACAUGCAAGUCGAACGGAAAGGCCCUGCUUUUGUGGGGUGCUCGAGUGGCGAACGGGUGAGAAACACGUGAGUAACCUGCCCUUGACUUUGGGAUAACUUCAGGAAACUGGGGCUAAUACCGGAUAGGAGCUCCUGCUGCAUGGUGGGGGUUGGAAAGUUUCGGCGGUUGGGGAUGGACUCGCGGCUUAUCAGCUUGUUGGUGGGGUAGUGGCUUACCAAGGCUUUGACGGGUAGCCGGCCUGAGAGGGUGACCGGCCACAUUGGGACUGAGAUACGGCCCAGACUCCUACGGGAGGCAGCAGUGGGGAAUAUUGCACAAUGGGCGGAAGCCUGAUGCAGCAACGCCGCGUGCGGGAUGGCGGCCUUCGGGUUGUAAACCGCUUUCGCCUGUGACGAAGCGUGAGUGACGGUAAUGGGUAAAGAAGCACCGGCUAACUACGUG